GAUGAACGCUGGCGGCGUGCCUAAUACAUGCAAGUCGAGCGAACAGACGAGGAGCUUGCUCCUCUGACGUUAGCGGCGGACGGGUGAGUAACACGUGGAUAACCUACCUAUAAGACUGGGAUAACUUCGGGAAACCGGAGCUAAUACCGGAUAAUAUAUUGAACCGCAUGGUUCAAUAGUGAAAGACGGUUUUGCUGUCACUUAUAGAUGGAUCCGCGCCGCAUUAGCUAGUUGGUAAGGUAACGGCUUACCAAGGCAACGAUGCGUAGCCGACCUGAGAGGGGGAUCGGCCACACUGGAACUGAGACCCGGUCCAGCCCCCGACGGGAGGCAGCAGUAGGGAAUCUGCCGCAAGGGGCGAAAGCCUGACGGAGCAACGCCGCGUGAGUGAUGAAGGUCUGCGGAUCGUAAAACUCUGUUAUUAGGGAAGAACAAAUGUGUAAGUAACUAUGCACGUCUUGACGGUACCUAAUCAGAAAGCCACGGCUAACUACGG
rnacentral:rRNA from 1 species